CCUACGGGCGGCAGCAGUGAGGAAUAUUGGUCAAUGGCCGGAAGGCUGAACCAGCCAAGCCGCGUGAAGGACGAAGGUGCCAAGCAUUGUCAACUUCUUUUGUCAAGGGACAAAAUCAGGCUCGAGAGCCUGGCCGAGGGUACUUGAAGAAAAAGCAUCGGCUAACUCCGUGCCAGCAGCCGCGGUAAUACGUAGGGGGCAAGCGUUAUCCGGAUUUACUGGGUGUAAAGGGUGCGUAGACGGCGGUGCAAGCCAGCUGUGAAAGCCCGGGGCGCAACCCCGGGACUGCAUUUGGAACUGGGAGGCUAGAGUGUGGGAGAGGCAGGCGGAAUGCGUGGUGUAGCGGUGAAAUGCGUAGAUAUUAGGAGGAACACCAGUGGCGAAGGCGGCCUGCUGGACGAUGACUGACGUUGAGGCUCGAAAGCGUGGGGAGCAAACAGGAUUAGAUACCCGAGUAGUC
rnacentral:rRNA from 1 species